GACGAACGCUGGCGGCGUGCUUAACACAUGCAAGUCGAACGGAAAGGCCCUGCUUGCAGGGUACUCGAGUGGCGAACGGGUGAGUAACACGUGGGUGAUCUGCCCUGCACUUCGGGAUAAGCUUGGGAAACUGGGUCUAAUACCGGAUAGGGGCCAUCUUUAGUGUGGUGGUUGGAAAGUUUUUUCGGUGUAGGAUGAGCUCGCGGCCUAUCAGCUUGUUGGUGGGGUAAUGGCCUACCAAGGCGGCGACGGGUAGCCGGCCUGAGAGGGUGUACGGCCACAUUGGGACUGAGAUACGGCCCAGACUCCUACGGGAGGCAGCAGUGGGGAAUAUUGCACAAUGGGCGCAAGCCUGAUGCAGCGACGCCGCGUGGGGGAUGAAGGCCUUCGGGUUGUAAACUCCUUUCGCUAGGGACGAAGCUUUUUUGUGACGGUACCUAGAUAAGAAGCACCGGCUAACUACGUG
rnacentral:rRNA from 1 species